rnacentral:rRNA from 1 species
UACGUAGGGUGCGAGCGUUAAUCGGAAUUACUGGGCGUAAAGCGUGCGCAGGCGGUUGUGCAAGUCUGAUGUGAAAUCCCCGGGCUUAACCUGGGAACUGCAUUGGAGACUGCACGGCUAGAGUGCGUCAGAGGGGGGUGGAAUUCCGCGUGUAGCAGUGAAAUGCGUAGAGAUGCGGAGGAACACCGAUGGCGAAGGCAGCCCCCUGGGAUGACACUGACGCUCAUGCACGAAAGCGUGGGGAGCAAACAGG